rnacentral:misc_RNA from 1 species
AUAACUUCGACUGUGAUCCUGCAGGUGCGGAAAUGUUUUUCCUGUACUGUAAUAUCACCAUGACAUUGCAUCAAUUGCAUGUACCUUUUGUGCUGGUCUUAUGGAGUAACUAACUGGGAACCAUGGAUGUAAAUGCAGAUUGCAGAAUUUGGAAAGAACAUGAUAUGGUGGGGUUGGUGGCAAUGUGCCUGUUAUUAAAUGAUUAGGACACUAUAUGUCUAGCAUUUGUCCGUAGAAAUUAGACGUUGCAAGAAGUUCCUGCAUACAAUACAUGUAUAUACAUUUUAUUCAUCUUUGCCUUAGAAGACUGCAAAGAAAUGCAAAAGAAAUUUGCCUUUUAAACAUCAUUUGAAUCCUAUUUGCAAAUCUCCACAAGAACAUUAUUCUCUAUUUCACAUAUUAUUACAGGCCACGGUUUUUUAUUAGAGAGAGAGAGUUUCUCUUUCUUUACUUACCUUAUUUUUGAAAAAUCAAGUAUCAAGAUUUGAAAAUAAGAGGAAAAUUACAUCUUCUGUCUGAUUCUAGCAACAAAUUUUUAAUUGACAAUUAAAACCCAUUAUGUAUGAUAAUAAUGAUGAAGAUGAGUUUUUACAUUUAACCCCAGGAUUAUCCAAAUGUAUUCAGACAUAUCAUUUGUGUAUUAACAAUAAAAUUUACUUAUUUUUCAUACUCAAUGCUUAUUGGGGCAUAUCUGGUGUACAUACAUGAUACACCUUUGUCGGAUACUCUGCUAUUUACCGGAAUGCUUUUGGAAUUUGGAGUGUUCAUGCUCUGAACUUAUCCAUCCUUAAAAUUUGUCAUUAUGCACAUAAUUUUACUUGCCAUGUGCAACAUGGACCCUUAAAUGUGGUAACGUGUUGCUUUUGGAUUAUUCUUCCUCUGAUGUUCAUGUUGGAAGUCAUUGAAUCUCUAAAAGAUUCCUGAACACGAAUGUCAAUUUUUGGUCUUUGCUUGCCAUGUGACCACAGUUUCAGAAAUUGAGGGUAUGAUCCAUUGUUCUAAAAACUACUUUAGGAGUUUAUAUUGUGUGACAAGGUGAUCAUGCUCUUUUGAACAUAGCAUUAUGUUUGAAUGUUUAUUCAUCUUUUUGGCUUUCUUCAACCUUUGACUGCAGAACUAUUCUGGGGAAGAG